rnacentral:rRNA from 1 species
AGAGUUUGAUCAUGGCUCAGGACGAACGCUGGCGGCGUGCCUAAUACAUGCAAGUCGAGCGGAGUUGAUGAGGUGCUUGCACCUCUGAUACUUAGCGGCGGACGGGUGAGUAACACGUAGGUAACCUGCCUGUAAGACCGGGAUAACAUUCGGAAACGAAUGCUAAUACCGGAUACGCGAUUUCCUCGCAUGGGGAGAUCGGGAAAGACGGAGCAAUCUGUCACUUACAGAUGGACCUGCGGCGCAUUAGCUAGUUGGUGGGGUAACGGCUCACCAAGGCGACGAUGCGUAGCCGACCUGAGAGGGUGAUCGGCCACACUGGGACUGAGACACGGCCCAGACUCCUACGGGAGGCAGCAGUAGGGAAUCUUCCGCAAUGGACGAAAGUCUGACGGAGCAACGCCGCGUGAGUGAUGAAGGCUUUCGGGUCGUAAAGCUCUGUUGCCAGGGAAGAACACUUAGGAGAGUAACUGCUCUUAAGGUGACGGUACCUGAGAAGAAAGCCCGGCUUACUACGUGCCAGCAGCCGCGGUA